UUGCAAUUGUUUGUUUAUGUUUUGGCAACAUUUGCAUAAUUUGUGGAGAAGGCUAAUAAUAUAAAAAAUAAAGUUAGUGAUCAGAGUUAGUUAGUUAACAGUGAAAGUGAAACCGAAGGGGAUUACCUGCCCAAGCCAAAACUGCUUGCGUUCCCUGCGGCCACAAGUUUCUGUGUUAAUAAAUACGAAUAAUUAUUCUUCGCAAUCAAUCAUUGGCCUCAAUAACUGUCUCAACUUAAGAUAUCAGGUACACCGUACGUACACACAUACACAUACAAAUGUUUGCUUGUUAAGUAAUGUUUGUAUUUUAAUUGUGCAAUGAGUCAUUUCGAAGCCUUCGGACCCCCUCGAAUGAGUCACUGGUAGCCAUCGAGCAUUGCCCUCUGAAUCCGCUUGGCUAUAAACCAUUUUGCUCAGUGCAGCCUAGGCGGACACACCGCAAAACUUUUGCGUGUGGUUUUGUGUAUUCCAUUCUAAUAAGUCGCUAGCUAUCUAACAAUUCAAAUCUAAGAAAAUUUCAAAAUUCAAUUUGCACUGCGGCGUUGUGUCGCUGCUGCUGGGGGAGUGAACAACAAAAGCCCACCUCAUCUGGAAACUCCCUCGGUGGGGUCCCUUUGCAUUUCUACAACCACACCACGCCACUCGAUGCGACGGCAAAGUGAACAAACAUUUCUGAAAACUUACUUGAAUAGAUUAUUAGGAAUUAUCAAAACUUAAUUUAGCUUAAGAGCGCUCAGCAUAAGCGGGGGCCAGGCGGGACGUGGCAUGCGGGCAGCUAAUGAAUGCGGCCCGGGUUCAGGAACAGGUGACAAACAAUCAGAAGGAGGAGACGACCUGGCCAUUGAUCUUGUCAUGCCUUUGUUGUGGACGCUGGUAAAUCCCCGACUAAGCGGCUUAGGGAGCGCCUCUGUGCUCGUGCAACUUAAAAGUUUAGCACAUGCGAUUUAAGCGCUAGAGGAAAUUACAUCAACUGCUGGGUUGUCAUCACAGCGGGACUACGUUUAUUAACUGGACUCGGAGAUGGACGAGGCAACAGACACAGGACACAGACACAGCCACGGACACGAAUCGAUCUAAUGAGGCUGCCAGCUGGCGGCAGUGUCUGGGAUUGGCCGGGUCUGCCAUAUCCAGCUGUGUAAUCGGCUUCAAUUAAAUCAAGCCAAACGACACCGGCAAUUUGAACGUUCGCUUUUGUGCUCCCCACGAGCACGGACAAGGAGCUUGCAGCUAAAUAGAAUCCAGUCAAUGUCGGAGUCGAAGUCGUAGUUGGAGUUGGAGUCAUGGCGACCUUUUAGCAGCGCUUCCUGGCGAGGCCCGGCUUGGCCUCCUGCCCAGCCAUUCACUCAAUCUGGCGUUAAUAACGUGGCACAAAAUUUACAAGGGAAGUGCAGAUGGAAAGAAAUACUUGAGUUACCUUUACCUUGCCCUUGCCCUUAUUCCGAGUCGAUAAUCGCAAAGGAAAACGGAUGUCCAAUUAGUUGUGUGCCAGCUUCCGGCUCCCAGCUCCCAGCUCUUCCUGUGCCCAUCCAGCUCAUCUUCGCCCGCUCUGAGCCUGUCAAUUGCAGCCAGCAUCCAUUCCAUUUCAGUCGAGUCGAUUGCCAGUUGGAGGCCAAGCGACGCCGCCCGUCAUUGUUGCCAGUUUGGACGCCAAUGGCAUAAUUUUGAUAUUUGCUUGCCAGUCAAUUGCCAACAAUUUGCAUAGGUUAAUGUAUGUUGAUAUGGCUUAUGCUGGUCCCUAAUCAAUGCCUAUUUACGUUUAAAAUCCGUUUGGAUUUGCCAGUGACGCGCUUAUCGCGCUGCAUGCUCGUCGGGCUAAAAAUUGAAUAAAGGAUUUAAGGCCUUAAAUUGGGAGGCACAGCAGCGUCGCCGACUUGCCACGUCAAAUGCCUGCCAGUGUCUCAGAGUGUGCGUUGGCGUGUGCCCUUUCCUCCAAGAAUCUGCGUGUGUGUGUGACAGGAAGCCAAACAAAAGCAACAUGUGUAACUUGUAUGGCAUGGCAGCGUCAAAAGGCGAGAGGCUGGAAAAAUCUAUUAGAACGUGUCUUGCCUGCCAACCCGAUACUUCUUUACCCAUUCGCACAGCCGCUGCUCCAUUUUUCCCGCUUAUAUUUCACCCGAGGGCAUAAUAAGCUUGCCUGCCGCCCCCUUUGCAUCUCCUGCUUUCCUUUUUCUCUGUUUUUUUGUUGUAUUUUUAUUUAUUUCCACGUGCGUGCGUGUGUGUGUGCCUGAGAUAUUUACUUAUGAUUGAGUUGCGUGGCGGCAGAAGAGGAAACAUCGUGGGCACGGCACCCUCGAAACAAUUUGGUAAGAGAUUGCGGUUGCUUUACUGAUUUUCUCACCCAUUUUGUGUGCGCUUUCGCCCUCACCUCUCUACCAUUUUCCACGACCGUUCGUUUCCUCCCUCUUCCGCCUGCCAGCCUGCCUGCCAGGAACUGUGGUGUGUGUGUGUGUGAGAGAUGAAAAUUUAAAUUGAUUUUGCAUUGUUUGACUGUCAUUGUUGUUGCCCUCAUCGCCGGCCUGUUGGUUGUUGUUUCUGUUUAUUUAUCUUUUUGUAUGUGGUGGUUCUCGAUAAACCCGAAGCUCUGGUUAUACAUGGCUCGAACAUUAUUAUAAAUUUCAAUUUGUGCUCGAUAAACGUAGCCCCCGAAUGGGUUUCGCUUUACUCUUACCCUUUUCUCUUUAUAGGUGAGAUGACUGGACUGGACUGUUCGCUUUUUGGGUUGAUAUUUCAUACCGGGAGAUGGUGUUAUACAUCAGCGCAUACCAGGAGCUACUAAUGCAGUUAUAAGACUAAGCUUAUAUAAGGGAUACAUUUUUACAGAUUUGGAUAUUCGUUGGGUAUUGUCUGACAUUCUACGAGCGUCUAUGGAUGGUGCUUUAACUAUUAACAGUGCAUUUUAUGGAUUUACAAAUUCAAGGCCUAGACACUAGGAUAUUACUGGACAUUUCUAAGUAUUAGCUGCUUUAGCUUGGCAUAUUCUUUUCUUACAUUCUCGCAGCCUAACGAAGAUCCCAAGUUGUGCCAGACGUUCCCCAAAGCUUUGAUCUGGCUCGGCAUUGUUGUGCCCUCUUCCUACGAUAUGGCUUGGCAUAACUCACCCCAGCAUUGUGAUGCGCUUUGUUUAUGUGCGACCCAAGAAUCAUUUGUUUUUAUAUGAAAUUGUUUUACGCUGCGGCAGCGAUCAACCCUGGGCCUUCCGUCCGCCCCGCACUCUGAGUACA